GAGAGAAAACAGCACCUUAAGGAAAAUCGGCACAUUUCAUUUUGCUGUUGCAAAUGGCUGCACAUUGACCAUGGAAUAGGGCCAGCUUGUCUAGACAAGCAGAGCUGCAAUGAGGCUGAUGGAAGGAGGAACCAUGUUCUUCAAGGUUCACGGCAUGAUUCCUUCUCUCCAUUCAGGGCAGUCUGUGUACCAUCUCAUUUAAUUCACAUGCAGCCCAUGUAGCAAGUGUUUUCAUCCCCUUUAUGAGGCGGGGCUUAAAGAGGUUCAAUGAGUGUCCAAGGUGACAGCCCCCGCCUCCGCCACCAAAACCGUGUUAUUCUCCUUUCUUCGCAUCUCCCUUCCAGAGAGGCCACAAAAAAACAGUAAACUCCCAAUCAACAGCAUUAAGGACUGUCCUUCCUUCUAUCAUCCUAAGACAGACAGGCCCACCGAGGUAUGAAUUCACUAAAAUGUGGACGCUAGGCCAGCUGUAAGGAGGCUUCUAGGUGAACCCAUUAUCUUUACAUCUGUCCUUUGACCUCUGAGCUACCGUACAGUAAAGGCUACACAAAGCUUAGGUUUUACCCAGCAGAGACUCCAAGGUAUGAUCGAGAAGCAUGGUCUCACUCAUUGGUGAUCACUUACGGAGUACACACAAUUAGCCAGGCCCCAAAGGUCCAGGGACCAAGUGACAUUUUCAUUUCAUUGCAGAUGAAUGACCAAUGGCCAAAGCACUCAGUGUCAUGUCUAAUAUGUACAUUAAACCACACUUCUCAGACUGUACAUGCUGUACCAAUACUGGGUACGACAAUCAUUCUAGUGGUCUGAGUGGUCAGCAGAAGAUGAGAAUCAUCAGCUCAUCUCAGCAUCCUGAGGACUCCUAGUCUGGAGGGGAAGGGCCAAGUGUAUCCAAACCAAUGCUCUACACUGUUCCAGCAUGGAGGUUCUAGUAUGCCUUCCUUCUCUGUGCUUCUAUUAGGCACCAGGGAUGACCAUCCCUCUCCCCUCCUGUGAUCUGCGAGCCAUAUUGCUCAGUAAUUGCCCACAAAGCAUUCUUUCUUAGGGAGCCAGAUCUCUUCACAUCAUUCUCUACCUUGAUAUCUGUUAGAGAGUUUGUCUUUCACCUCUGACUCACAGCAAAAAUGCUCCAGAAAGAUAAAAGGCAAAAAGAUGAGGUCAGUGCCUACAGAUUUCAGAAUUUCAGACGGAUUAAAGAAUUAUUCCAAAGUGGCUGCAUCCCUCUCCCGGCCCAGUCCAUCAUCUAACUAUUUCUGGCUCUCGUGGAGUUCUCAGUGUCUGGUUCACCUCCAGCUGUCCCUCAAUGAGAGGUGGCAGGACUUGUUCUGAGGAUAGACCUACCAGCAUCUCACAUUCAAAAGGUCUCCUCACCUUGACAGAAAUAGAAACAAGGGAAGGAAAGAAUGCUGAGUCGUGGAAUGGGAGCUAUUCUGCAAAAAUGCUCUCCUCAUUUUCUAUUCUUCUUCUUUAGGCCCUGACUCAGGCCUACCCAGUAAAGACAAUAAUGUAAAAAGGAAGUUUGCUGAAACAAGCAAACAAAAACAAUUUGCCAUUAAGUACAGCAUCUGUUUCCAUAACCAUCUCUCUUGGGACUUUUAAUUUAUAAAUUAAAAGAGUCACAGACUUACUAUUAGUACUAUAAAUUCAUAUCAUCCUUUAAAAAAAAAUCAGUAUGAAAAUCAUAUCAAGAACCAGAGAUGCUAUGCCUGAGAUAAUUUCAAAAGAAAAAUUCAAAAGAAAGCAAAAGCCAAAUAUUAUUAUCUGAAAGAACAUUAUGAGAAACUAACCUCUCCCUCUUUUGGGUAAUAAAGAUAUCAUAAAUUAGCCACCAAGGGAAAUAUGUUUGGCCAAUCAUUCAGUAAGAUAAUUAUGGGGAGCCAAAGUUAAGUGGAGAAAAGCAUGAGACAUGAACACCGUGUACACACUGAUCACAAUUAUGAAUAAUUCCUACUUAUGGACAGAGACUGGAAAGAAAUAUGGGAAAUGAAAAUAAUUAUGGUAAGGUGACAGGUCAUAGGUCAUUAUCUCUUCUUACAACUGUUUUUUCAACAAAAUGCUAUGCUAUAAUUUCAAAAAUUCAUAAAAAUUGUUCUCAGAUUUGGCAUGUUCAUUAAAAUGACAAUUUCUUCACUAAUCUUGGAGUUAUUUAUUAGGCAAACUCUCUGACUCAUACUUGAGAGAUUGGAGAAAAAGGAGGGAGUGAACUUUGCUUCUGAACAACCAUUCAGGAUACUACAGGGGGCCCUCAGAGGUAAACAGGAAAAGGUAAAGUUCAUCCAGGCCCCUUUGGGCUGACCCUGGGUGAUAAGUGCCUGACUGCUCAGGGAGAUCACGUGGCCGAUCACCCCUGGCUGACAAGAGCCGGUGUGAACAGCACCACAGCCCAGAUGUGCUCCCGACAGGAUGCUGAAGUCACUCGAGACCGGAGUGUCAGCGUGGUUACUGCUGUGAUACUUUCUCUUCUGCAGGGGGAUGGAGAAGGAAGGAAAAGGAUGCGAACUUUGGGCUUUGCCCUUCUAUGACAUAUACCACUCACGACGUGAAUGAUCGGAACUGUCAUGACCUAGAUUCCUGAUAAACACAGUGAAAAAUUACAUCUAGAAGCAGCUUCUCUCCAUUCUCUGCUGCACUGAUGCCUGCUUGCCACCUUGUCAUGUGGAGGAAGCCUGAGUUCUAGGGAAAGUGGAGGCAGAGGAAACCGAACAUCCUUCCAUGCCCUGAGGCCCCUGACCUUUGUACUCAACACUCUGGCCCUGGGACAGAUGACAAGGCACACUGUGUCAGCGGAUGCUCAGGAAAAUGGUUCCUGGGUUUGGGGACUGCCAUCUUCCAUGGGUCAAAUGAGGAACUGACUGAUGACAAGAGUAGAGUUCUAUGCAACACAUUUUCAGUGUGCAGUGUUGGCUGUCAAUCCUUAUGUUGUUGGAGGGUAACGCACCACAUUUGGCCAUUUUGCUAGCAUUCACUUAACUAUGCUGGUUCUCUAUUUAUCCAGGUCAUCAUGAGGGCAAAACCUUUUGAUAAAAGACACAGGAUAUAACUUGGCAUGUGUGUGGGUGUUAAAUUAUGGUCACAGAAAUAGCAGUAGAUUUCAGAGCUAUAGUGUAUUACUGCCCAGAUAUCUAUGAAUUUGAGUUUCUAUUUUAGAAGGCAAAAACCAAUCAUUCAUGUCAUCCACUCACUCAUGUAGUAGUACACAACAGAGAUUACCUUCUUCAGGUAGUUAUAACUCUCCAGCCCCCAUCUAUCUUAGCAGCGUAACUGGCCAAGAGUUCUCCAACUCACAUUCUUCUCCUCAUCCCCAUCCAUCCUAUACUCCGAAUUCAGUGUUUCCCAAUUAGAGGAUGCUGUUCACAUGAGCAAAGGCCCUUGUGCCUUUUCAGACUGUUUCCUCCUCUUGGAAAGUCUUCUCCUCACUUCUCUGCCUGGCCAAUUCCUUUUCAAAAGCUAGAUCAGAUGCCAUUUCCGGCAUCGGCCUUUCUCAGUUCUUCCAGGCUCCCUCUGUGUUUAAUUUUUUUUGGCAUAAACAUAUUGAAUUGUAAUUGCAUAUUUAAAUAUAAAUCUUAUCUACUGGACACCUAGGACCAGAGGCCAGGUCAUAUUUAUCUUUGGAUUCCUGGCACCUAGGACAAAGGAGAUGCUCAAUACAUUGCUGAAUGAAUGAAUGAGUGGAUGAUGAAUGAAGUAAAUGUGAAUAAAGGGCUUUCUGGCUAAGACCAGGAUUUUCAAACUGAUGCAAGGACAUCAGCUUCAGUAGAAUAUGCUUCUUAUUUCAGGUUUAAGCACCACACUAGAAAAACAAAUGCUUAAUUCUGGCAAAUAGGAAGAUGGAAGCUUCUCAUAUACCAAAUACACUCCUAUCUGAAUCAAUGAAUCUUCACUCUGGUGGUUUCAUGUUGACUGUUGAACUAAAAGCCCCAAAUCCAGUCAAACAAGUACCAAGAAUGCCCACCUUAAAGCACACAGCCACAAACCAGCUUAUCUUUAUAGAGUUUGAAUUUAGAAUCCUUAAUCCUUGUAAAUCUAAACCUUCCAACUGAAUUUCCAUCUACUCAUGGCAAUUCUUUUCAAGUCUCAAUGAGAAAUUUUCUGAUCCCUGUGUGAAGAACCCAGCAUUUCUUGUCUCCAUAAAAAUGUGCCUGCUGCACUGACCUCUGUUAAACAGAGUAGACUCUAAGCUCCAGAAAGACAGGACCCCGGCUACCCCAUUUACAUCCUAUGCUAUUUCAGGCACUCCCAUGCUGGCUGACUGGAUGACUGACUACAUGAACAAAUGCCUCUGCAGCAGACACCCCAAGGGAAAGGACCAAUUUUCUUCUUUCUGUUCUCAGGGCCCUGCUGGGAACAUCAGCAGAGACUGAGUGGGUGAGAGGAUGAUCAGUUACCAACACUCUGCCAUUAACGAACUAUCUCCUUUACUGAUGCCAAUGUCUCAGUUUGCCUUGCUCGGUCAUUAAGUUAACCAUGGGUCUCAUGGCACAAAAUGUCAAAAGCUGUUCCACAGCUGGGAAACACUGUCCAAAGAGCCAGCAAUUUGCCUUGGUUAUCGUCCAUCCACUGUGCACUGACAGACCUCUUAUGAACACAUUUUGGUCGAUUCUCCUUUUAGGCUGCAGGUCCCCCUUUCCUACCCAGAAAUCCCAGAGGUAGACAGGGGGGCACCUCUGGAGUACAGGGAAAGGGGUGUGGGUUGGGGGGUUCAGCAGGUAAAAUUGUGGCUUUCUUUCUGCCUUUUGAUAUUUUUGCUUGAUGACAUGGUAUAUAUGAAUGCUAUUAACAUUGCAAGACAAGUAAAUUCCAUAUAUUUGCCAAUUAAAGGGCCAGGCUGCUUGAAAUUCUGCUAGUAUCAUCCCUCAUGUCAGACUGGAAGGGCCCAGGGUAGCUAGAAAUAUGGGCCAGUGAGUCCCAGGAACUAGCCUCUAUUUGCAGUCUUAUCUGUUUACAGUAGCGUACUCCAUCCAUCCAUCAUCCUCCAGCUGUCCAUCUAUCAUCCAUCUAUCCAUCAUCAUCCAUCCUAUGUUUUAUGAGUGUCAUUGACAAUACGUGAAAAAUAAAGGUUGCAAAACAUCA